AAGCUCGUAGUUGAAUUUCGGGGUUAGUAGGUUGGUCAUGCCUCUGGUAUGUACUGGUCUCACUGAUUCCUCCUUCCUGAUGAACCGUAAUGCCAUUAAUUUGGUGUUGCGGGGAAUUUGGACUGUUACUUUGAAAAAAUUAGAGUGUUUAAAGCAAGCUAACGCUUGAAUACAUUAGCAUGGAAUAAUGAAAUAGGACGUUCGAUCCUAUUUUGUUGGUUUCUAGGAUUGACGUAAUGAUUAAUAGGGAUAGUUGGGGGCAUUAGUAUUCAAUUGUCAGAGGUGAAAUUCUUGGAUUUAUUGAAGACUAACUACUGCGAAAGCAUUUGCCAAGGAUGUUUUCAUUAAUCAAGAACGAAAGUUAGGGGAUCGAAGACGAUCAGAUACCGUCGUAGUCUUAACCAUAAACUAUGCCGACUAGGGAUCGGAUGAUGUUAAUUUUUUAAUGACUCAUUCGGCACCU
rnacentral:rRNA from 1 species